ACUCGACCUUGACGAGUUGAUAAAAACUCAACCGAGCAAGAAAGAUUUGCUGACAGCCAGGCUCUCAAAGACUGGUGGAUAUGACUUAAAGAGCUGUUUAAGCACCAUCAUGGACCGGCUCAUGACAAAUGAAUUAAUGUCCAAUCUGAACAUGAAGGGGAGAGGGGGAAAAAACUGGCUUUGCCGAGACGAAGCUGCUCGAUGUAGUCACAACUAGUGUCUUGGAUACCCAGAAGGGGACCGAAACGAUGGUCCAUGAUGCCAUAAAAAAUAAACUGAAAUAUGCCCCUUGACGGAAGGGAGGAAUAGGAUGGGCAUCACAGGC